rfam:Flavobacterium sp. ov086 genome assembly, contig: Ga0070134_117
CCAUAGCCCCGAUAGUCCCGAAGUCCCGAGAGGAAAUCCUUUUACUUUUUCUUUAAAAAGCAAAAGAUUAUAAUGGAUAGCGGGAUUAAGC